AGUGGGAGGGGGGGAUCCCCUCAGCCCAGAUUGCGAGAGGGUGCAGGCCUGGCCGAGGGACCCCACUGAUGCACG
rnacentral:pre_miRNA from 1 species